AACGAACGCUGGCGGCAUGCCUAACACAUGCAAGUCGAACGAGACCUUCGGGUCUAGUGGCGCACGGGUGCGUAACGCGUGGGAACCUGCCCUUAGGUUCGGAAUAACUCCCCGAAAGGGGUGCUAAUACCGGAUAAUGUCUUCGGACCAAAGAUUUAUCGCCUUUGGAUGGGCCCGCGUUGGAUUAGCUAGUUGGUAGGGUAAAAGCCUACCAAGGCGACGAUCCAUAGCUGGUCUGAGAGGAUGAUCAGCCACACUGGGACUGAGACACGGCCCAGACUCCUGCGGGAGGCAGCAGUGGGGAAUAUUGGAAAAUGGGCGAAAGCCUGAUCCAGCAAUGCCGCGUGAGUGAUGAAGGCCUUAGGGUUGUAAAGCUCUUUUACCCGGGAUGAUAAUGACAGUACCGGGAGAAUAAGCUCCGGCUAACUCCGUG
rnacentral:rRNA from 1 species